AACGGUCUAUACCUGCGGUACCUGCGGAAGGAUCAUUACAUGGCGGAGAAGGUGGGCAACCUGGCCAACAUCCAGGUUGUGAUGCCUUCACGCUCUUCCACCCUUGUCUAUUUGCACCUUCUGUCGUUCCCUCGGCGGGUUUCGACCCGCCGGCGGCAACAUUGAAAAACCCUUUUUGCAGUUAGCAUUCAAUUCUUCUGAUCAAAUAUUAAAUCAUUACAACUUUCAACAACGGAUCUC
rnacentral:misc_RNA from 1 species